GUAGGGAAUAUUGCACAAUGGGCGGAAGCCUGAUGCAGCAACGCCGCGUGCGCGAAGAAGGCCUUCGGGUCGUAAAGCGCUUUUCGGGGAGAAGAGGAAGGACAGUAUCCCCGGAAUAAGGCUCGGCUAACUACGUGCCAGCAGCCGCGGUAAAACGUAGGAGUCAAGCGUUAUCCGAAUUCACUGGGCGUAAAGCGCGUGCAGGCGGCAGGGCAAGUUGGAUGUAAAAUCUCCUGGCUCAACUGGGAGGGGACGUUCAAAACUACCCAGCUAGAGGUUGGCAGAGGGAGGUGGAAUUCCCGGUGUAGUGGUGAAAUGCGUAGAUAUCGGGAGGAACACCAGUGGCGAAGGCGGCCUCCUGGGCCACACCUGACGCUGAGAAGCGAAAGCUAGGGGAGCGAACGGGAUUAGAAACCCGGGUAGUCC
rnacentral:rRNA from 1 species